UACAGAGGUCCCGAGCGUUGUUCGGAUUCAUUGGGCGUAAAGGGUGCGUAGGCGGCGGGGCAAGUCUGAUGUGAAAUCCCGGGGCUCAACCCCGGAACUGCAUUGGAUACUGCCUUGCUAGAGUACUGGAGAGGGAACUGGAAUUUACGGUGUAGCAGUGAAAUGCGUAGAGAUCGUAAGGAAGGCCAGUGGCGAAGGCGGGAUCCUGGGCCAGUACUGACGCUGAGGAGCGAAAGCGUGGGGAGCAAACAGG
rnacentral:rRNA from 1 species